UACGUAGGGUGCGAGCGUUGUCCGGAAUUAUUGGGCGUAAAGGGCUCGUAGGCGGUUUGUCGCGUCGGGAGUGAAAACUCAGGGCUUAACUCUGGGCUGGCUUCCGAUACGGGCAGACUAGAGGUAUGCAGGGGAGAACGGAAUUCCUGGUGUAGCGGUGAAAUGCGCAGAUAUCAGGAGGAACACCGGUGGCGAAGGCGGCAUUCUGGACCAAUACUGACGCUGAGGAGCGAAAGCCAGGGGAGCAAACGGG
rnacentral:rRNA from 1 species